UACGGAGGAGGCAAGCGUUAUCCGGAAUUAUUGGGCGUAAAGCGUCCGCAGGUGGCGAUUCAAGUCUGCGGUUAAAGACUGGGGCUUAACCCUGGAAAGGCCGUGGAAACUGAAACGCUAGAGUGCAGUAGGGGUAGAGGGAAUUCCCGGUGUAGCGGUGAAAUGCGUAGAGCUCGGGAAGGACAUCGGUGGCGAAAGCGCUCUGCUGGACUGCAACUGACACUCAGGGACGAAAGCUAGGGGAGCGAAUGGG
rnacentral:rRNA from 1 species